AAGGGAAUCUUCCGCAAUGGGCGAAAGCCUGACGGAGCAACGCCGCGUGAGUGAUGAAGGUCUUCGGAUCGUAAAACUCUGUUAUUAGGGAAGAACAAAUGUGUAAGUAACUAUGCACGUCUUGACGGUACCUAAUCAGAAAGCCACGGCUAAUUACGUGCCAGCAGCCGCGGUAAUACGUAGGUGGCAAGCGUUAUCCGGAAUUAUUGGGCGUAAAGCGCGCGUAGGCGGUUUUUUAAGUCUGAUGUGAAAGCCCACGGCUCAACCGUGGGGGGUCAUUGGAAACUGGAAAACUUUAGUGCAGAAGAGGAAAGUGGAAUUCCAUGUGUAGCGGUGAAAUGCGCAGAGAUGUGGAGGAACACCAGUGGCGAAAGCGACUUUCUGGUCUGUAACUGACGCUGAUGUGCGUAAGCGUGGGGAUCAAACAGG
rnacentral:rRNA from 1 species